AAGUCGUAACAAGGUCUCCGUUGGUGAACCAGCGGAGGGAUCAUUACCAGAGAGUUGCAAAACUCCCUAUAACCCUUUGUGAACCUCACCCGUUCCGUAGUGUCUCCGGCAGGUAUCCCCAGGGGAGGGGACCUGUGCCAUCAGGCGCCUGCCGGAGGGCUCAACACAAACUCUUUUAUGGCGUCUGCCACUGCUGUCUGAGGCACUAUAGAAAUAAAUCAAAA
rnacentral:misc_RNA from 1 species